rnacentral:rRNA from 1 species
AUUGCAGUCUGCAACUCGACUGCAUGAAGCUGGAAUCGCUAGUAAUCGCGGAUCAGAAUGCCGCGGUGAAUGCGUUCCCGGGUCUUGUACACACCGCCCGUCACACCAUGGAAGUUGGGGGCGCCCGAAGUUGGUCGGGAAAUAGAUUACCUAAGGCGAAACCAAUGACUGGGGUGAAGUCGUAACAAGGUAUC